AUUCCAGCUCCAAUAGCGUAUACUAAAGUUGUUGCAGUUAAAAAGCUCGUAGUUGAAUUUCUGGUCGUGGCGACCGGUCCGCCCCUCACGGGGUGUGCACCUGGUCUCUACGUCCAUCCUCGGGGAGAGCGCGUCUGGCAUUCAGUUGUCGGGCGCGGGAUCCUCGUCAUUUACUGUGAGCAAAAUAGAGUGUUCAAAGCAGGCUUAGGCCGUUGAAUACAUUAGCAUGGAAUAAUAAGAUAGGACCUUGGUCUAUUUUGUUGGUUUGCACGCCGAGGUAAUGAUUAACAGGGACGGUUGGGGUUCUUCGUAUUCAAUUGUCAGAGGUGAAAUUCUUGGAUUUAUGGAAGACGAACUGCUGCGAAAGCGUCGAACAAGGACGUUCUCAUUA
rnacentral:rRNA from 1 species